rnacentral:rRNA from 1 species
UACGUAGGGUGCGAGCGUUAAUCGGAAUUACUGGGCGUAAAGCGUGCGCAGGCGGUUCGCUAAGACCGAUGUGAAAUCCCCGGCUUAACCUGGGAACUGCAUUGGUGACUGGCGGGCUAGAGUAUGGCAGAGGGGGGGUAGAAUUCCACGUGUAGCAGUGAAAUGCGUAGAGAUGUGGAGGAAUACCGAUGGCGAAGGCAGCCCCCUGGGCCAAUACUGACGCUCAUGCACGAAAGCGUGGGAGC